UACAGAGGUCUCAAGCGUUGUUCGGAUUCAUUAGGCGUAAAGGGUGCGUAGGUGGCGGGGUAAGUCAGGUGUGAAAUCUCGGGGCUCAACCCCGAAACUGCACUUGAUACUGCCUUGCUCGAGUACUGGAGAGGAGAUUGGAAUUUACGGUGUAGCAGUGAAAUGCGUAGAUAUCGUAAGGAAGACCAGUGGCGAAGGCGAAUCUCUGGACAGUUACUGACACUGAGGCACGAAGGCCAAGGGGAGCAAACGGG
rnacentral:rRNA from 1 species